CUGGUACUGUUGACAAGCAUCUCAAGCAGCAUAAAAGUGUGCUGGAGCAGCAGUUGGCUAUCCCUAACUUACAUUUUUGCUUAAAAAAAAAAAAAGACCUUAAAGAAAACUGGAAG
rnacentral:lncRNA from 1 species